rnacentral:misc_RNA from 1 species
AUCAUACUCAACGAAGACUUCUUCUCUGUCUUCUAUAUCCUGGGAGAUUCUGAUCAGAUAGAGGGCAGGGGAUUUAUUUGUUUAAAAAUCGUUUCAUUCUCUGGAAUCCUCUCUCUUUCACCUUGAGUAACUUUGUCGUCGCUGCAGCAUCUAUUGAUGGCUGUUACUAUUCGUCAAAUGUCUCUAAUUGUUGCCACUCUGGGGGUACUAUCGUUCAUUUUUGGGAUAAUCGCCGAAAAUAAGAAGCCUGCAGCUGGAAUUCCCAUCAUUGGUAAAGGUGGUGUUAUUUGCAAGUAUCCAUCUGAUCCUACAAUUGUAUUGGGAUAUCUCUCUUUUACAUUCCUCGUAGCAUCUGCAGUGGCUGGGUUUCUGUCUCUAUUUUAUCCUU